rnacentral:rRNA from 1 species
GAAUGAACAGGGAUGAGCUCAGGCUGGAAACCGAUACAUCUGUGUCGGGCUGUAGCCUGCAGGCAUAGCGCUAUCGGCGGCUCGAGCGCAAGCCUCUUGGAAUAGAGCGUGUGCCCGGGUGAGAAUCCUGCAUUUCGCUCGAUGUCCGCUGUCCACAGUGCUUGUCCUGAGAGUCACGCUCCUCGGAAUUGGAGCGUAAAUCAGGUGGUAAGUUUCAUCCAAAGCUAAAUAGAAGCUCGAGACCAAUAGCAAACAAGUACCAUGAGGGAAAGAUGAAAAGGACUUUGGAAAGAGAGUUAAAAGUGUUUGAAAUUGCUGAGAGCGAAGCGAACGGAGCCACAUGUCGUGCUGAGAUUGCUGUGGGUCUUUGUGAGCCUUGAGCAUGUAAGCGCAAGCUGACUGCUUAUGUGUGAGCAUUUACCCGCAGUGUUUCUCAGCAUGCGAGUCAUUAGCCACAUUUGUUUGAGGAUGGCCUUCAGCUCACAUGGUACACUUGUUAGUGUU